rnacentral:rRNA from 1 species
GCAAGUUGAGCGCUGAAGGUUGGUACUUGUACCGACUGGAUGAGCAGCGCACUGGUGAGUAACGCGUGGGGAAUCUGCCUUUGAGCGGGGGACAACAUUUGGAAACGAAUGCUAAUACCGCAUAAAAACUUUAAACACAAGUUUUAAGUUUGAAAGAUGCAAUUGCAUCACUCAAAGAUGAUCCCGCGUUGUAUUAGCUAGUUGGUGAGGUAAAGGCUCACCAAGGCGAUGAUACAUAGCCGACCUGAGAGGGUGAUCGGCCACAUUGGGACUGAGACACGGCCCAAACUCCUACGGGAGGCAGCAGUAGGGAAUCUUCGGCAAUGGACGAAAGUCUGACCGAGCAACGCCGCGUGAGUGAAGAAGGUUUUCGGAUCGUAAAACUCUGUUGGUAGAGAAGAACGUUGGUGAGAGUGGAAAGCUCAUCAAGUGACGGUAACUACCCAGAAAGGGACGGCUAACUACGUGCCAGUAGCCGCGGUAAUACGUAGGUCCCGAGCGUUGUCCGGAUUUAUUGGGCGUAAAGCGAGCGCAGGUGGUUUAUUAAGUCUGGUGUAAAAGGCAGUGGCUCAACCAUUGUAUGCAUUGGAAACUGGUAGACUUGAGUGCAGGAGAGGAGAGUGGAAUUCCAUGUGUAGCGGUGAAAUGCGUAGAUAUAUGGAGGAACACCGGUGGCGAAAGCGGCUCUCUGGCCUGUAACUGACACUGAGGCUCGAAAGCGUGGGGAGCAAACAGGAUUAGAUACCCUGGUAGUCCACGCCCGUAAACGAUGAGUGCUAGAUGUAGGGAGCUAUAAGUUCUCUGUAUCGCAGCUAACGCAAU